rnacentral:tRNA from 1 species
GGGCCUGUGGCCUAGUCUGGAUAAGGCGACAGCCUUCUAAGCUGUAAACCCAGGGUUCAAAUCCCUGCAGGCCCGCCA